AAAAAAUCGAGCUGGGGGGUUCCCUGGUCCCUGGCGAUGGGGCGGGGAGCGCGGCGCCAGGGGAGGGGGCGGGCGCGGCAGCGCGGGCCCCGCCGAGAGGGGACACCUGGCUGAGGCACAGCUGCUGCCCGCCGCGCCGCGCCGCUCCGCGCGAACCCAGGGCUCCGGUCCCUGCGUGGACUCGAGAGCUCGCCCCGACCGGGGGUCUUCCUCCUCCGCCGUUGACAGGUGAAUAACAACAAAAUGAAGACCAUAAUAAAACAAGCCUGCUACUUAGCCCUGCAAUUCUUACCUUAGAGAGAAGAAAUUUCAUUCCAACAUCUGAGUAUGUGGAAACUGUUUUAAGAGUAAACUUCCUUACUUGGUGAAGAGUGGGGACGGGAAGAGACUAGGAAGAUCAAGAGCCACAGGGUUCCUGUUUUAUUUCUCAUCUCUGGUCUUACCUACUUGAUGAAGAUGUCAUUUGAAUGGUGUACUGCAAGGAAUUAAAUGCUGUUUGUAAAUUAUGCUUUUACCAAGGUGGAUAUUACUAUCCCUUAUUCAUGGAAAAAGUUGUAUUCUAAGUGUUGUUUCCCAUUGAGUAUUAGCAAAAAGGAGAAAAAUUAAUGUCCUAAACUUUUGAGAUAGAUUUGGCUCUAGUAAGUAUCUAGACCUAUUAUUAAUAGGGUUGGCCAAAAAGUUCAUUCAGUUUUUUUCCAUAAGAUGGCUCUAGUAGUGAGCGCUUAGUUGUCUUUAACUUCAUUUGAAACAGUUUUGUUAGGUUGUAUUGUGACAGCUGUCAUAUUAGUGCAUUUUUAAAAAAAUAUCAAAAUUGGUGAAUUUUUGUGUAGCCAUUUUAGUAUUGAAGAUGGAAGAAAAAAGCAACAUUUUUGGCAUAUUAUGCUUUAUUAUUUCAAGAAAGGUAAAAACACAACUGAAACGCAAAAAAAGAUUCGUGCAUUGUGUGGAGAAGGUGCUGUGACUGAUAGAACGUGUCAAAAGGUGGUUUGCGAAGUUUUGUGCUGGAGAUUUCUUGCUGGACAAUGCUCCACGGUUGGGUAGACCAAUUGAAGUUGAUAGGGAUCAAAUCAAGACAUUAAUUGAGAACAACCAACGUUAACCACGUGGGAGAUAGCGGACAUACUCAAAAUAUCCAAAUCAAGCUUUGAAAAUCAUUUGCAGCAGCUUGGUUAUGUUAAUCAAUUUGAUGCUUGGGUUCCACAUAAGUUAAGCGAAAAAAACCUUCCUGACCAUAUUUCUGCAUGUGAUUCUCUACUUAAACGUAAUGAAAACAUUCCGUUUUUAAAACAAAUUGUGACGAGCAAUGAAAAGUGGAUACUGUACAAUAAUGUGGAACAGAAGAGAUCGUGGGGCAAGUGAAAUGAACCACCACCAACCACACCAAAGUCCGGUCUUCAUCCAAAGAAGGUGACGUUGUGUAUUUGGUGGAAUUGGAAAGGAGUCCCCUCUUAUGAACUCCUUCCAGAAAAUCAAACAAUUAAUUCCAAGAAGUACUGCUCCCAAUUAGACCUACAUCAGCACUCGAUGAAAAGCAUCCAGAAUUAGUCAAUAGAAAACAGGUAAUCUGGGACUUCCCUGGCUGUCCAGUGGUUAAGACUCCAUGCUUCCAUUGCAGGGGGUGCAGGUCUGAUCCCUGGCCUGGGAACUAAGAUACCACAUGCCAUGCAACGCGGCCAAAAAUAAAUGAAUAAAUUUAAAAAUCAAAAAGAAGGAAAACACAUAAUCUUCCAUCAGGAUACCACAAGACUGCAUGUUUCUUUGACGACUAGGCAAAAACUGUUACAGCUUGGCUAGGAAGUUCUGAUUCAUCCACCAUAUUCACCAGACAUAGCACCUUCGGAUUUCCAUUUAUUUCGGUCUUUACAAAAUUCUCUCAAUGGAAAAAAUUUCAAUUCCCUGCAAGACUAUAAAAGGCACCUAGAAUAGUUCUUUGCUCAAAAAGAUAAAAAAUUUUGGGAAGAAGGAAUUAUGAAGUUGCCUGAAAAAUGGCAGAAGGUAGUAGAACAAAAGGGCGAAUACGUUGUUCAAUAAAGUUCUUGGUGAAAAUGAAAAAUGUGUCUUUUAUUUUUACUUAAAACCCAAAGGAAUUUUUUGGCCAACCCAAUACUUAACAUGUCUGGGAGAAGAAAUAAGUGACCAUCAUCAGUACAUUUCCAGCUAAAAUUUUUUUAUUUUCUUACCUCUUAUCAAGGGAUUUCCUAAAAUUUCUGUUUUAUUACUAAUAGCUUGAGCCCCUUUAAUGGAGAAUUAAUUUCUCCAGCAGAAUUUAAGAGUUUAUGUUCUUACCUUGUUUAUUUA